UGCAGUCGAGCGAGGCGUGUAGCAAUACACAGUCGAGCGGCGAACGGGUGAGUAACGCGUGGAUUAUCUGCCCUGAGGUGGGGGAUAACCCGGGGAAACUCGGGCUAAUACCGCAUAUGACCGUGAGGUCAAAGGGGGGUCGCAAGAUCUCUCGCCAUAGGAGGAGUCCGCGUUCGAUUAGCUAGUUGGUAGGGUAAUGGCCUACCAAGGCGACGAUCGGUAGCCGGCCUGAGAGGGUGAUCGGCCACACUGGAACUGAGACACGGUCCAGACUCCUACGGGAGGCAGCAGUGGGGAAUUUUGCGCAAUGGGCUAACGCCUGACGCAGCAACGCCGCGUGGAGGAUGAAGGUCCUUGGAUUGUAAACUCCUGUCAGCAGGGAAAAAGCGACUUAGCCUCAUACGCUAGGGAGUUGAUUGUACCUGCAGAGGAAGCCCCGGCUAACUCUGUGCCAGCAGCCGCGGUAAUACAGAGGGGGCAAGCGUUAUUCGGAAUUAUUGGGCGUAAAGGGCGCGUAGGCGGCCUGGCAAGUGGAUGGUGAAAUCCCUCGGCUUAACCGAGGAACUGCCAUCCAGACUGCUUGGCUUGAGACCGGGAGAGGUGAGUGGAAUUCCCAGUGUAGCGGUGAAAUGCGUAGAUAUUGGGAGGAACACCAGUGGCGAAGGCGGCUCACUGGACCGGUACUGACGCUGAGGCGCGAAAGCGUG
rnacentral:rRNA from 1 species